UACAGGGGGUGCAAACGUUGCUCGGAAUUAUUGGGCGUAAAGCGCGCGUAGGCGGCUACUUAAGUCGGAUGUGAAAGCCCUUGGCUCAACUGAGGAAGUGCACCCGAAACUGAGUAGCUGGAGUACGAAAGAGGGUCGCGGAAUUCCCGGUGUAGAGGUGAAAAUUCGUAGAUAUCGGGGAGGAACACCCGGUGGGCGAAG
rnacentral:rRNA from 1 species